rnacentral:tRNA from 1 species
GCCUCCGUAGCUCAGGGGAUAGAGCAAUGGUUUCCUAAACCAUGUGCCGUAGGUUCGAAUCCUAUCGGGGGCACCA